UCAUUGGAGGGCUCUGUCAUAAUCGCACUAUUGUUGUUGCCAUUAGGCAUCCAAUUAUAAAAGAAAUUAUUGGCUUGUUGAUCCUGAUCAGUUAUUGUAUUAGGAUGAUAUCCCAUAAACUCUGGCCUCGGCGCCUGAGGUAUAUAUGGCACUCUAUGCUCACUUUCAUCAAGCAAGAACAUGAUCCUUUUCAAGUCCAGUUGAUUAAGUUGCAUGUCUUGCUGCUGGUGCUGGUGCUGGUGCUGGUGCUGUUGUUGCUGAUGAAAUUGUUGCCUUUUCAGAAGGCGAUUUUUCGCCUUAUCAGUGUUAUCAGAAGAGAUUUUAGCCUUUUUCUUGAAAUGGGUCCUCCAAUAGUUCUUGAUUUCAUUAUCAGUUCUUCCUGGCAAGCUUCUAGCAAUUGUUGACCACCUAAAAUAAUAUCGUUGAUUUGUUAGCGUAUUAUUAUAAACGUUAAUUAACUUAAAUAGAAUUAUAAUCAAACUAUUAUAUUUACCUGUUUCCCCAUCUAGCAUGCAACUCAAGAAUUAUGCUUUCUUCGUGUGGUGUUAUUUGCCCCCUCUUGAGGUCUGGCCUCAAAUAAUUCACCCACCUCAAUCUGCAAAAUUCUAAAACUUGAUGAAUUUGAGAGUUUUGUCUUAUAAAUUAAGCUAAUUAGCAAUAAGAGAGCAAGUAGUUUAACGAAAAAUUUGUUUCAAAAAUAUUAUGGUUUAAGCAUAUUCAUUCAGUCAAGGAAGAAUUUUUUAUUUAGUGCAACAGAUAAUAGAAAGUCUAAAUUAAGCAAAUUAAAUUGUAGCUUGAAAAAUUGAUGCAAUCAUAAAAAUACUUGAGCAAAAUCAAAUUCUUCAUAUAAAUUAAAUUUGUCUUAAGUAGGAGUAAUAUCUGGCUACGCUAUUGAUCUUAAUUUCAUGCAAAUCUUUCAAGAACCAAUUAUGAUCUCGGUGGGGAAAUAAUUUGUCAUAAUUUAUCCUGGAUUUCUUAAAACAAUUCUGUUGUUUUUGUUUUGCAUUAUUAGAUGGAUUUUAAUCUUAUGCAACAACCCUCCAGUUUAUUAAUUUGCUUGUAGUCAAGAUGACACUCCGAAGAUAUCUUGCAAUAAAACUGUUGCCAAACAUAUUAUUAAGCAGCUUCGGCUCCCAAAAUGAGGUCUAGCUCAGCUCUAGUGAGGAAUGUUAAAAACACUAGCCCGGCACGGAUCCAGAUGGACCUGGGCAAUGCGGGUUGGAUAUUACCUGGACUCGGGCAAUGUAGGCUGGAUAUUACCAAGUCCAAAGAUGCGUUUGCCCAGACCCGAGCUUCAUUUGAUAAAUUCAGUAUCCAAGCCUAGCUGUAGCAUGAAACUUGGAUUUUAUAAAAAAUAUAUUAUUUUAAAUAACUAUAUUUAUUUAACCCACUUAUUACAUAUGUUUAAAUUUUACAUAUUUAAAGUUCAUAUUUUUAAACCUAAUUCAUUAAGAUAAAAAAUUAAAAUUUAAAAAUAAACAUAUAUAAUAUUCUAAAAUAUAAAAUAUAAGUUUUUUAAGUUGGAAUGCAAAAAUUAAGCUCGAUGUUGAGCUCUUUAGGCCUAGCCUAGAUGUUCAAAACAAAAAAAUACCCGAUCCAAAUUGGAAUUGCCGUACCCAAGAACAAUCCGGGUUUUUAGGGUUUAGGGUGCGUUUGGGAUUGGGAUUAGACAAUUAUAGCUUAAAAGAUAUAGUAAUAAAAUAUUUAGUAGACACUAUUUACUAUAACUUAGAAGUUAUAUUUAUAUGAUUUUUCGCGUGUAUGAUGAAAAAUUUAUUAUUUUUUUAAUAAUUUUGUAUCAAAAUUAUUAUUUAAAAUUUAUAUUUACUGCAUAUCAUUAACUUUUGUUUCAUAAUUAUAACUUUUUUUUCCGCAGUAAUUGUAUCUUAAAAGUUACAAUACUUCAAUCUCAAACAGUACCUUGAAUUUUUCAUAAAUAGAAAAACGAUUAAGGUUAAAAUAAAUUUUUUUUAUUUGAGUAUUUUGAUACUUUUACUUAAAAAGGAUAAAAUAAUCAAUUGGUCUUAUAUUAAAAGCAAAGUUAGCCGUCAAAAGAUUGUCAAAAAUCAAAGUCACAAGAUUUAAUUGAAUAAUUGUCCACAAUUCUUCUUUAUUUGAUUUUUUUAAAAUAAUACGAAAUUAUGUUAUUAUAUUUUAUGAAUUGGGUAUAUUUACAAAAAUUGCGAGGUAAAAUAUCACCAAUCCAAAAAUAACUGACUAUAAAAAUUUUUCAUAAACACAAAUAAAAUAUUUAAAAGUAUAAUAGCAGAAAAGUAGUAUGUGCAACUAUUUCUGAAACAAUGGGAUUCAUCGGUCCAGUGUCGUCUCUCUGAACAAAAUAAUUGAACAAUUGUGACAUUUCUAAUUUUAUAAGCCGCGAUAAAAAAUAAAAUUACAUUAAGGAGAAUCACUAGAAAACCAUGUCAUCUUUCCUAGAUGAGGAGAGGCAGCAGCUCCUCUCAUUAUUAAAAUGAGAUCAUCCAGCAUCUCGUAGAUUGAAACAGAACAAGGAUUUGCUUUAUCAGCAACAGAAAAACAAUGGGUCUUCCCAUGAAUGCUAAUCCAACUGCACCCAGGUGACUUCUUUAAACCUCUAUCUUUCAUCAUUGUUCUCAACUCAGCUACAGCAUCCCAUCUUCUAGAGGAAGCAUACAAGUUUGAUAGUGAUACGUAGUUUGAGGGAUUCUCUGGUUCUAACUGAAUAAGUGACUUGUAAGCCAAAUCCUGCAUCUCGGAGUUCCCAUGCAUUACAGAAGCACUAACAAGAGCCCCCCAGAUGCUUGGACUGGGUUCAACAGGCAUUGUUUUAAUGAAAUCGAGUGCUCUAUCAAGCUGACCAGCUCGACCUAACAUAUCAACAACACAAGCACAUAUCUCAGUUGUUGGCUUAAUUCUGUAUGUGUUUAUGACUGAAUUGUAUAUAUCAAGGCCUUCGUUUAUCAAUCCUGACCUGCCGCAGGCAGAAAGAACCCCAACAAUUGUUAUAAUAUCUGGUUUGCUCCCAAGGCAAACCAUCUUAUUGUACAAUAACACAGCUUCAUGUCCCUUCCCAUGUAAUCCAUAUCCUGAAAUAAUUGAACUCCAUGAGAUUGCAUCUUUGUUAAAAGAACUAUCCUCAAAUACUCGCCUUGCACAAUCCAAGCUCCCACACUUAGAAUACAUAUCUAUCAAAGCAUUACACAGAGACACAUCAUGAUUCAACUCCUUUCUAAUUGCAAAUCCAUGAAUUUGUUUGCCACCACUUAAACCAAUAAGUGAGCUACAAGUGGGAAGAACACUCACAAGUGAAACUUUAUUAGGUUCUAUUCUAUCUUUCAACUGCAUUUCAUGAAAAAGAACCAAUGCUUCAUCCAAAUCUCCAUUCAGCACAUAACCAUUGAUCAUCGCCGUCCAGGCAUAAACAUUUCUACGCUUCAUUUGAUCAAAUACUCGCCUACUCCAAACAACUUUAUUAUCCCUUGAAUACAUAUCAAUCAAUGAACAAGCCAAAUGAAAAUCCGAAUCAAAACCAAUAUCCAACUCAUUCCUCACAAUAUAACAAUGAAGCUCCCUACCAUAAUCCCAUCUUUUAGUGUUUUCGACAUUACCACCAAUCAAAGUCAAAAGACUUGAAACAGUAAAUGCAUCAAGUUUCACUCCAUCAAUCUGCAUAGACCAAACAAUUUCACACAAAUCCUUACCCAAACUAAAAUCCCCCGAACUCGCAUGCCCCGAAAUUCGCACAUUCCAAGAACCCACAUUUCUUUGAGGCAUUUCAUCGAACAGGUUCAGACAUUCACUAAAUUUUCCACAUUUAACAUACAUAGACAUAAGAGAAUUGGCCAAAAUAACAUCCACAACAAACCCAAUUUUAAUACUCAGCCCAUGAAUCAACAUUCCAACAUUUAAGUCCUUAAUCUCACCACUUAAUUUUGAUAUGGUUGCUAGAGUAAAAUCAUCUGGUGACACAUUGCUAUAAUACAUGUUACUAAACAACUCCAAAGCUUCAUUUUGUCCAUGGUUUUUGACAUACCCAUUAAUCAGUGAGUUGUACAGAUACACGUCCUUGUGUUGAAUUGAGUUGAAAACGAGUUGAGACUGAGUUGGCUGGCCGCAUAAAGCGUAAGCAGUGAUGAGUUUUGUGCUUACGAAUGGGUUUGAAAUGUGGCCGAGCGAGAGGAUUUGAGAGUGGGAUUGUUUGGUGAGUUUCAGAGAUCGAUGGGUGGCUGAAACCUGAAGAAAAUGCUGCACAGUGGCAGAAGUAUAAUUACGGGAGGUUACGAGGGCAAACGUGUUGCGCGCAGAGGAGAGGAUCAUCAGAGAACAGACAGUUUAUGAAUGUCCGCUGAAACGGAGUGUCCUACAAGGUUUUCGGUCAUAUAAUUUAAUUUAUGAUAUAUUAUAUAUACCACUAAUAAAAUUUUUGGGAGGUUAAGAAAAUUUCUUGAGGCUUUCGAUAAAAGAGAAGGUAACGCUAUAUUCAAAUGUGCUUCAUUGUCGAUAUGAUCAUAGAUUAUUAUCAAAAUAAAACUCAUGGAUAUUUAAAGUCAAGUCAUAAUAUCCGUUAAGAGUUAAAGACCUUCAAAGUGUAUCUGAGAUUAUAAAUUAUUAUGUUUACAAAGAUUCAAGUUUUUCAAUAUGGGUUGUGGAGGUUAAUUAAAUUUUCACUUUUAAAGAUUUAGAGAUAAAUGAGCUAAUUUUGAGUAUAGAUAUUCAGAUUAUAUUAUCACAAAGUUGAUUUAAAACGUUGUGACAGAACUUCUUAAUAUCAAUAAAUUGUAAUGUGAUUAAAAAAAACUUUUAUACUAAUCAUAUUUUAUACAAUUAACAAACCGUUAGUAGUAGAAUUACUAAUCACAUGAAUUUUCGUCUCUUUGACACUAUCUUUGAGAAUAUUGUAAUUUUUUUUCUUCUUUUUAGUUGGAGAGUAGGGGUUUUAUUUAAGUCUUUCUCAAAUGUUGCAAUGAUAGAUUUCUCUCCUCUGAAGAAUGGAUAACAAUCUCUUUAAUUAAGGAUAUGUACUUUAUAGUAUAAAUCAAUUUAUUGUUGAAGUACUCUUACUUCGCUUUAAUGAUACCCCGAACAAAAAUAAUUGUUAUUCGUUUGAUUCCAGGUAUGCCUGAAUACUAGCUAGAUGUUGCUCGCUAGAAUGUCAACACAUAGGCCACAGCAUACGUUUCCAUUGCAAAUUAAUUAUAUCAAAGUUUCAAAAAGUGUGAUUGAGCAAAUCGGAAAAAUAUAAUGUAUGAGAUAGUGCGAUUAAGAGAAUCUAGUUCCAAUCUUAAUUUGGGAUCACAGAUUGAUAUAAAAAAUGUUAAAAAGAAGACAGCAUUUAGUUUUAUAUGUUCAUAAUCAAGCUUUUGUAAAACGAUUAUGGCGACAAAGGUAACCAAAAGGCCAACAGAACUUGCACUAAAUUUGAAAGUACUCCGUAACCUUGUCCUUUCAUAUCCUUUUCAGUACUGGACCUAAGCUAUACAACUUUAUCAUCAUCCGAAAGAUGUGAUUAUUCUGGUUCAUCCCUUUGCUGCUUAAAUUAUUUGAAUGCUUUCCAUCAUAUCAUCUGUCAUUCUGUCUUUUCUUGAGCAACAUUUGUCAUUUUUUUUUAUCAAAUUAAUAAUCUAGUAAUCUCCUUCAAGAAAAUUUUAUCGGGACAGUCCAAUUUAAAAGCUCGAUGGGAGUCCAUUAUGACCCCGCAGCCAAACAGCUAGGCCACCAUAGCACAGUGUAAGGGGUGGGCAAAUUCAGAUUCAGAUCCAUUUAAUUGAAUUUCAGGUUAAUCAGAUUGAGAAAAAAGUAAUCCAAAUUCAAUCCGAACUUAUAAUUCAAUUUGAUUUGAUCUGAAUAUCAGAUUGAAAAUUGCAUCAUGAAUGGUUUGCAUAUGCACAAUACUAGUUUAGUUUCUUCAAAUUUUCAGAUUGAAUAGGUUUGACCUGAUCUAAUCACAAUUCAAUCCAAUCGAGAUGGAGUUUUCACCCGCAUCCAAUCUAAAUUCAAAUUUUUUAGAUCGGAUCGGAUCGGAUCGGUCAAAUUAUUUGUCCACCCCUAUGCAACACUUCCAAACAAUUUAUUCAUUUGGGAGCGAUGCGGUGUGGCAGCAGAGCUGCUUAGCUGCUGCGAAGACACCUCGGUUUCCAACCAUCCUAAGUGUAUCAUUUAGGAGACAGCAAUGGGACCCACAAUGUUAAAUUUAAUUAUAUAACUUCUCAUUUUGAUACUAUGUAAUUUUUUUUUGGUGGUACAAGAGGUAUGGAGUUCGAACUGUGCUUCCAUGAGUCGAAAAAGAGCCUAAAUUCUACAUUCGUGUAAAAUACUUCCAAAAAAUAAUAAACAACUUAAAAAAGAGAGAGAGAAAGAAAUAAUGAGCCUACUGGUUUGGCUGCUAUGAUGUCUAUUGCCCAUCUAUAAUCAAAAGAUUUUGGGAUCAAAUUUAACUCAUGUGAAGAUAGUUAAAGAUUUAACCCUCUCGCCAGUUCUGAAAGAUAAUUAGUAUAAUUUAUCUUGCUAUCUGGUUUGGGUGGGAUUUCUGUGCCUUUUUUUUUUUCCUUUUUUAAUAAAGAAAAAGUUUAUCUAAAGGAGGAUACAAAACUAUCAUUUGUCAAUAACAAAACUCUUGUUGAUGUCCUAUUAUUGCUCGUAAAUAAUUAAUAAUGGAUACUUACAAUCUUUCCACAAAGCACCAAACACCUAAGCAUCACUACUUCUCAUCUUUCCAUGCAAAAUUGGACCACUUUAUUAAUUAAUGAGAAAGAAGUACAUAAAGUUUGGGAUUGCAUAUGUUAUUACAACCCAAAUUUUCACACCAUUGCAUCAGUCCAAAGCUCCAGCAAAGCUGUGUUAAGAGCCUUGUCAUUUGAUGACCCCCAGAAAAAAAAACAGUAGUACUAGACUAAUUUUAAGUCAUGCAAUAAUUUAGCAAAUUAACAAAAAUAACCCAACAAAAUUAACAAAAUGGAGCCACUAAAUUGUGGAAACUAGCUUUGCUUGUUGCACAAGCAGCAGCACCAAAAUCAUCCAAAUUCCACAAACCGUCCCACAGAAUUUCCUCAUUGGAGGGCUCUGUCAUAAUCGCACUAUUGUUGUUGCCAUUAGGCAUCCAAUUAUAAAAGAAAUUAUUGGCUUGUUGAUCCUGAUCAGUUAUUGUAUUAGGAUGAUAUCCCAUAAACUCUGGCCUCGGCGCCUGAGGUAUAUAUGGCACUCUAUGCUCACUUUCAUCAAGCAAGAACAUGAUCCUUUUCAAGUCCAGUUGAUUAAGUUGCAUGUCUUGCUGCUGGUGCUGGUGCUGGUGCUGGUGCUGUUGUUGCUGAUGAAAUUGUUGCCUUUUC
rnacentral:lncRNA from 1 species